UAUUUCUAUGACUUCUGACCUCAAAUCAGGUAGGGCUACCCGCUGAACUUAAGCAUAUCAAUAAGCGGAGGAAAAGAAACUAACAAGGAUUCCCUUAGUAACGGCGAGUGAACCGGGAAGAGCUCAAAUUUGAAAUCUGGCGUCCUCAGGGCGUCCGAGUUGUAAUCUAUAGAAGCGUUUUCCGCGCCGGACCGUGUAUAAGUCUCCUGGAACGGAGUAUCAAAGAGGGUGACAAUCCCGUGCUUUACACGACUACCGGUGCUCUGUGAUACGUUCUCUAAGAGUCGAGUUGUUUGGGAAUGCAGCUCAAAACGGGUGGUAAACUCCAUCUAAAGCUAAAUAUUGGUGGGAGACCGAUAGCGAACAAGUACCGUGAGGGAAAGAUGAAAAGCACUUUGGAAAGAGAGUUAAACAGUAUGUGAAAUUGUUGAAAGGGAAACGAUUGAAGUCAGUCGUGUCCAUUGGGUUCAGCCGGUCCUGCCGGUCUACUCCCUUUGGACGGGUCAACAUCAGUUUUGACCGGUGGAUAAUGGCGUGAGGAACGUAGCACCCCUCGGGGUGUGUUAUAGCCUCUGCGUCGCAUACGCUGGUCGAGACUGAGGAACGCAGCUCGCCUUUAUGGCCGGGGUUCGCCCACGU
rnacentral:rRNA from 1 species